rnacentral:rRNA from 1 species
UUAUUUGAUAGUACCUUUACUACUUGGAUAACCGUGGUAAUUCUAGAGCUAAUACAUGCUAAAAAUCCCGACUGUUUGGAAGGGAUGUAUUUAUUAGAUAAAAAAUCAAUGCUUUUCGGAGCUCUUUGAUGAUUCAUAAUAACUUUUCGAAUCGCAUGGCCUUGUGCUGGCGAUGGUUCAUUCAAAUUUCUGCCCUAUCAACUUUCGAUGGUAGGAUAGUGGCCUACCAUGGUUUCAACGGGUAACGGGGAAUAAGGGUUCGAUUCCGGAGAGGGAGCCUGAGAAACGGCUACCACAUCCAAGGAAGGCAGCAGGCGCGCAAAUUACCCAAUCCCAAUACGGGGAGGUAGUGACAAUAAAUAACGAUACAGGGCCCUUUCGGGUCUUGUAAUUGGAAUGAGUACAAU